UUUUUUCUUUUUUUCUGAUUUUUUUUUUUCCCCCAAAUCAGGGCAGGCACAGCAAAAUAUGUUACAGGAAGAAAACAACACCUUAUUCAGGCGAAGGGCUGCAGACUGUCUGUCUGUAAUUUGUGUACUAACAAUCACUAACAAUUAGGAGCAGGUUUAUUGCUCUGAUGGUGUCCCCCAACCCGCCUCCACAACCUCACACCCCUUUGUCAGUUAUGGAAGUACCCGCUGACAGGUAAAGCAGGGACUCCAGCCGCAGAAGGCUGCCUCUGUCAUUACUCGAGAGCAGAGCAGAAGCAAUCCAGGUCCCUUGGUUAGCAGUACGCUUACAGCAUACAAGUGCUCAACUAAAGGAGUCAGUUCGGACAAUUACGGAGCAUUACGGUGACUCAGGGAUAGAAAAUAGUAGCCCUCUCCCCACCUUCCUGCAAGAUGUACCACAUUUUGAACAUGUUUUCAUACCUCUGAAGAUGCGUUGUUGCUUACUUUUCAGUUGCCAGGCCAUGUACGACACUUGCAUUAGAAACAUGUUCUAUGCUUAAACUCACAGGCCAGUCUCAAAGUAAUUGCUUUCCAUGGAUUUUAUGUAAAUAACAUAAUGAUCAUUUGCAGUUGAUUCCCAUUUACAAGGUAAUAACCAUAUUCGGAACUAAGUAGACAUCAAAGCCUAAAGGCAGAAGUGUUUAUACAAGAUAAAACUCCACUGCUGAAUGACAUGUUCUAGCUAAUACUGGUUUGAGAAGAAAUGCCUCUAAGAUACUAUUAUACUGAAAAAAAUUAUUUAAGAUUAAAAUUAAGUGAAGAAAUUAAACCAUAAAUAUGGGUCAAAGACUGAAUGAUAAGAUGUUGUUUGAAAUGUUAAAACAUCAGUAGGUUCUUUCUCGCUUCUCUUUACAGCUUCCAAGUCACUGGAGGGAAAGAGCCAACAGCCUCCCAGAGUGCAGAUCCAACAGAGGACUGUGAGACUGAAAAGCUGUGACACUGACCUACAGCUACACAAGUAGAAAACUCCAGUGAAACAAGAAGGAGGAAAAAAUAAA
rnacentral:lncRNA from 1 species